CUUUUCGAGGUAGGAGUCGACUCCUGUGAGGUAUGUUUUAUCUUUGCGAAUGUUGCGGGUUUUGGGGCGCUCCAGCCUUUGUCUGCUAAGGUCACCCUGAAUUGACUGGGACUUCUAAGCCAGUCGCGCGCCUUUGCAGGGCCUACAAGUUGAGGAUGGUGGGGGAUUGCACAUAUGGUGCAUGCGUGACCUAAGCUGCGACUAUGUUAGAGUAGAACUGCGGAGAAGCCUCGGCUCUCGUGCCCUGCCUCUGAUGAAGCCUGUGUUGGUAGGGACAUCUGAGAGUAAUGAUGAAUGCCAACCGCUCUGAUGGUGGCACAUGCCGAGUCACCCGAGUAAGCUAUUGUUAAGGGCCGUGACCCGAGCCUCCAUCAGCCGUCCGCUCUCAUGAAAGGCUGUCGGUGGUAGUCCACGUGCUUAAGUGCCUGCAUUCCGCAGUGUCACCAAUAUUUCCAUUAGUGUUUCUUUUUUCUUUUUUGAGACCGAGCCUCGUUCUGUCACCCAGGCUGGAAUGCAGUGGCUCGACAUCGGUUAAUGGCAACCUCCGCGUCCCGAGUUAAGCAGUUCUGCCUCAGCCUCCCAAGUAACUGGGACUACAGGCGCGCGCCACCAUGCUAGGCUUUUAUAUUUUUAGUAGAGACGGGGUUUCACCAUGUUGGCGAGACUGGUCUUGAACUCCUGACCUCAGGUGAUCCACCAGCCGUGGUCCCCCAACAUACUGGGAUUACAAGCCGUGAGCCACCGCGCCCGGCCGCCAUCGGUGGUUCUUAACUGCGGGUGCAGUGCUUCUUUGUAACAUUAAGUGUAUCCUUUACCUGUCGCUAGAUAAUGAAUGGUAUGUUACCUGCAUCAUUGGUUUAAAAAGACGAACCGUUUUUUUAAAGAACACUCUUUAAAAAAAAGAACCGUGGAACAAUGAAUUAAAAUCUGUACCUGAUCUCUUUAGGUAUGGUGCUGGGUGCAGAUGCAGUGUGGCUCUGGAUAGCACCUUAUGGACAGUUGUGUCCCCAAGGAAGGAUGAGAAUAGCUACUGAAGUCCUAAAGAGCAAGCCUAACUCAAGCCAUUGGCACACAGGCAUUAGACAGAAAGCUGGAAGUUGAAAUGUUUUGGCAGGGGGUGAACACUCAUCUGUGGCUAUUCUAAGACCACUCUUAUUUCUUAGGUGGAGUCCAACUUGCCUGGACCAGCUU
rnacentral:lncRNA from 10 species